AACCCAUGAGUUAGGGAUUGAGCUAGAUAGUACUUGAAACGCUCCCAUGCCCAAUAUAAUUUUUCCCCCGGAAGUUGUUUGAACUCAAAGAUCUUAUCCCGCAGCUC